GGGGUGGGGGUUUCAGCCUCUUCCCUGGAGAGAGCAUCCAGGAUUGAGGCGUGUGUGUCGCGAGCAGGUGUCAGGUGGCCCGAGUGCUGCGUGUAAGAAACACCUCUUGCAGUCAUGGGCACACCAGGCUGGGCCGCCAGGUGAGGGACUCGGUGGCCCUUGCUCCUGCCUCGGCAGCUGUUAGAGCAGCUGGGAGUGCAGAGCAAGAGUGAAUGUGGGCCAGGAAGGAACCAGUGGGCCAGGGCGGUUCCGAUUGCAGAGAACAUACCAAAGGGCUCAAGCCUUGCCCCUCCCCUCCCCCGCCUCCAUCAGAUGAGGUCAGGGUGGCCUUGGGCCUCGUAGGCAGGCGAGGGGCACUCUGAUUCAGCUGGGACAACAGCCAGAGGCAGGACUUAGGGCUUCAGACGGGCGACUUGCAGGCUCAAGCUGCUCCACCCCAAGUUGUCCCACAGCCCCAGGCACGGGCAGUGGCCCCUUCAGCCCGGUCUGUCCAGGCUGCCUAGUGGCCAGGGGGGCUGUCAGGGCAGUUGUGUGCCGCUGGAAGAAAAACCCAAAUCAGGUAAAGAAAGCAAAAAAUAACUUGGCUGCAAGCCAUGCUUUUUUAUCUGUAGCCAGCUUCUGUCAGGCGAUUGUCCACUCAAGGUCAGCGGUGGGCUCUUCGGAGGGAGUGGGGAUCGAGUCUGUCCGAAUUACCUGGACGGCAGGCGAGGACCCGAUCAGCGUGGACCCCGCUUCUCAGCGCUGCAGAGAAUCUUUUGCACUAAGUCAUGCUGUUUCCUGAAAGCUUUGUUUUGUGUCAGUUGACUCCUGUUACUCUGAGGCCCCCCCUCCCCAGGUGGGCGAGUGCCCGUGGGGCUGGGGGGGUCACAGUGGUGCGGACACGCUGCUUGGUGUCCUCAGUGCCUGUGAAAUUCUUUAUGAAAUGAGCCACCUGCAUUAAACUUAUUUUUUUAACAUGUUGAUGGCGUGACUGUUUAAGGCUCAAAAGGUUUAUACCUUUUUGUAGAGGAUAUAACAAGCCAGAAACACCACAGAUGCCGUUUUUUUUCGUAAGUACAGUGGGAAGCUUUUAAAAGCGGCCAUUACCAAGCUGGAGAAGGAGUCACUGCUGGGCCGUGGUGGGCCCUCUGUGCCCGGAGGCCAGGGGUUCCACUGCUGGCACUUGUCCUUGGGGUUUGGCAGGGGUGGCCACGAGACUUGGUCAGUACUGGGCGAGGAGAGCCGGUGAGGCUGAAUUCACGAACCAAGUGCAUACAGUCCUUAUAAGACAGGAUGUGCCCUCUCAGGCCGGAAUGGCCGUGUGCAUGCAGGGUGCACCCAGUUUCAGAGAAGACACCUGCAGGAGAAAUGCUGGCGGAAAACCCAAG
ensembl:lncRNA